AAGACUAUACUUUCAGGGAUCAUUUCUAUAGUUUUUGACUGUCGAAAUGUGCUCUAAAGUGUACAAACUCACCAAUCACGAUGAAGAGUGUUAGUGUUUCUUUCUGAGCGCGAAGUGGGCUUACAGUGCUGCUUCUAAUUGUAGCUGCUGUUAGUUGUUGAUGACCGUUCUCUGCUUUUAUUUUUAAAGGCAAGGAGGAAAGAAACACAAGCUGAGUGAU